AUUGCCUCAACCAUACACUAAAUCUGGGAUUCCCAAAUCAUAUCAACUCUGGCAAUGGCAGCAGAAGCUUCCCUCUCAAUCUCCCUACGCUUGCAGCCGCACCACCACCACCUCCACCUCCCAGCCGCAACCCACCGACAUCCAUUUCUCCAAUUCCCCAACCACAAGCUACACAAUCACUCCAUCUCUCUCUCAGCCUCCCACUCCCCCUCUCCCUCUUCGUCGUCUCCAUCAUUACAGAACCCACUCCAAACCGGCCGAUUUCUCACCGACGACGACCUCGAUAAGCUCGAGCUUCUCGGGAACUACAGCUACCACAAGCAAUUGGAAUCCGGGCUUCUCUGGGUCCGCGCGAUGAGGGAGGAGGAGAUGGACCUGACCGUGACUCUGCUGUCCGAGUCCUUCGCGGAAUCGAUGAUGAUGGCGGGCGGUUAUGUGAAAUUGUUGGAGUUCUUGGUGAAGAAUUACCUGAUUGAGAGGAGGGAGAUGAUGCCUCACAAUGCUACGCUUCUUGGAGUGUACAGGGAGAAUGGGGAAGAGGAUUUUGAGCUGGCCGGAACUGUUGAAUUGACUUUUGAUGGAAAGGGGGCGAAUGCGAAUCCUCCUACUCCUACGCCGCCCAACAACUCGCCUUACAUUUGUAAUAUGGCUGUCAGGAAGCCUCUCAGGAGGAGAGGCAUUGGCUGGCAUUUACUGAGAGCGGGUGAAGAACUUAUUACAAAAAUGAGCUCGUCUAGGGAGGUCUAUCUGCACUGCAGAAUCAUUGACGAAGGUCCAUUCAACAUGUAUACAAAAGCAGGUUACAGCGUUGUUCAGACGGAUAGCAUCUUGACCUUGUUAACGCUACAGAGGCGGAGGCGCUUGAUGCGCAAAGAACUUCCUGCCUCUGAGGAUGCUUCUGUUGUAGAUGCUCCUCUUGAUGAACGGUUGUAAAAAUGGCCUUUGAGUUGGAGUUCUUUCACACAUUCUAUCAUCGAGGGCCUCUCGUGACUGUCUACUCGGAUGCAGCGUGAUGCCAGGUUUGCAAACAUGGCUACCGACUCCAUUGUGUUUAGGAUGCUCAAAGAAAGUACAGUUUAUAUUAUAUCCAGUACCUGGAUCACUAAAUUUUGAUCGCUUGGUCCUUGGGUCAGGUCAACUGCUCUCCGUCCAGUCAAAAGCUCGAGUAGCACGACUCCAAAUGCGUAGACAUCACUUUGUAGAAUUCCCUUUGUGCAGAUACUCGUACACCAGAAACCUUUGCUUCCCAUCUGCACAGUAUCCAAUCAAGUUGACAAGAUUGGGAUGGUCCAGUCUGCUCAGAAUAUCGACCUCUACGCGGAACUCCCUCUCUCCCUCUGCCUUUUUGAAUGGUGGUAGCUCCAUUUUCUUGAUCGCCACAACCUGUCGAUUCAGAUACAACUUAUUGUUACAACUUCUUAUUUCAGGUAUUCUUUUUUACUGAAGAAACGUGCAACUCCAACAUACCUGCCCGGACCUUAGAGUGCCUUUAUAAACCCGGCCAAAGCCUCCUUUCCCAAGCAGGUAUUCAUCACUGAAGGAACAUGUCGCCUCCUCCAUCUCCUUCACCGUGUAUACUGCUGAUGCAGUUCUUCUCUUUGGCGGGGGCCCUUUGCACUCGAUCUGCCACUGCUCCACAGAAACUAAUCCAAAAGGCAUCUUUUGUUGCUCUGCUCUAGGAAGAAGUAGUCCUAACACAACAACAAAGGAGUUGAGUUUUCCUUAAACCAGAAGCAGGUGUAAGUAUGAGCCCGGAGAGAGGUUAUAUUGUUUGGAAGUACGAGAAUCGGUAUAUGAGUGUGUACAAAGCAAGUGAGGUAAGUUAGCUUUGAGCAUACUUAGUUGCAACAACAACCAGGAUUUGGCACUUGAAGUUAAAGAAAGAGGUGUAAUUUGCUUAGGUUUGUGCGUGCGUAUGUAUGUCUGAAAGGGAAAGAGCAUCUGCAAAAUCUUGUUCCAUAAUAUCUUAUUUUGAAUAAUUGUGAGAUUGAGAAAGAAUAUGGUUGAGGGGUGGCUUUCAUUGCUGCUCCAAAUCAA